UACGAAGGGGGCUAGCGUUGCUCGGAAUGACUGGGCGUAAAGGGCGCGUAGGCGGCUUGCACAGUCAGGCGUGAAAUUCCUGGGCUCAACCUGGGGACUGCGCUUGAGACGUGUGGGCUUGAGUGGGGAAGAGGGUCGUGGAAUUCCCAGUGUAGAGGUGAAAUUCGUAGAUAUUGGGAAGAACACCCGUGGCUAAGGCGGCUCUCUAGUACGGUACUGACGCUGAGACGCGAAAGCGUGGGGAGCGAACAGG
rnacentral:rRNA from 1 species